AUUUUAAUGAUUUUAUCCAUUUACUUAUUCAAACUCAAAUUCAAAUAAAGCUGUGAAGAAAAUGUUUCACCGCAGCCUACGUAGCUGCCAUGCAGCGUGUAUGCAUGGAUUUCUGAGUUUAAUCUUAUCGUUUAUUUUUUGGUUGUAAUCAAGCACAACUCUGUGCUUAUAAAUGUAAUCGUGCAAAUCAAUGAAAAUUAUCCUUUUUCCUCUCCAAAAAUCAUCAUCUUUCUGCAAUCUGAAAAACAGAGGCUUUUGCAGCCUUAU
rnacentral:lncRNA from 1 species